GAUGAACGCUGGCGGCGUGCCUAAUACAUGCAAGUCGAGCGAACGGACGAGAAGCUUGCUUCUCGGAUGUUAGCGGCGGACGGGUGAGUAACACGUGGAGAACCUACCUAUAAGACUGGGAGAACUUCGGGAAACCGGAGCUAAUACCGGAUAAUAUUUUGAACCUCAUGGUUCAAAAGUGAAAGACGGUCUUGCUGUCACUUAUAGAUGGAUCCGCGCUGCAUUAGCUAGUUGGUAAGGUAACGGCUUACCAAGGCAACGAUGAAUAGCCGACCUGAGAGGGUGGUCGACCGCACUGGAACGGCUGCACGACCCAGCCUCCUCCGGGGGGCGGCAGUAGGGAAGCUUCCGGAACGGGCGGAGGCCUGCCGGUGCAGCGCCGCGUGGGUGAGGAGGGUGUCCGGAUCGUAAAAAUCUGUUUUUGGGAAAGAACAUAUGUGUACGUAUCUGUGCACAGCUUGACGGUACCUAAUCAAAAAGCCCCGGCUAACUACGUG
rnacentral:rRNA from 1 species